UACGGAGGAUGCGAGCGUUAUCCGGAUUUAUUGUGUUUAAAGGGAGCGUAGACGGCGGUUUAAGUCAGCUGUGAAAUGGUGCGGCUCAACCGUAGCACUGCAGUUGAAACUGGACGGCUUGAGUGCAGUUGAGGCAGGCGGAAUUCGUGGUGUAGCGGUGAAAUGCUUAGAUAUCACGAAGAACCCCGAUUGCGAAGGCAGCCUGCUAAGCUGCAACUGACGUUGAUGCGCGAAAGUGUGGGUAUCAAACAGGAUUAGAAACCCUGG
rnacentral:rRNA from 1 species